MSMWUUCGCCCUUGGUUUGACGGUACCUAUAAAGGAAGCACCGGCUAACUCCGUGCCAGCAGCCGCGGUAAUACGGGGGGUGCAAGCGUUGUUCGGAAUUAUUGGGCGUAAAGCGCGUGUAGGCGGUCUGAUUAGUCUGAUGUGAAAGCCCUGGGCUCAACCCAGGAAGUGCAUUGGAUACUGUCAGACUUGAAUACGGGAGAGGGUAGUGGAAUUCCUAGUGUAGGAGUGAAAUCCGUAGAUAUUAGGAGGAACACCGGUGGCGAAGGCGGCUACCUGGACCGAUAUUGACGCUGAGACGCGAAAGCGUGGGUAGCAAACAGGAUUAGAUACCCUGGUAGUCCACGCCGUAAACGAUGAGAACUAGGUGUUGCGGGUA
rnacentral:rRNA from 1 species